UACAGAGGGUGCGAGCGUUAAUCGGAAUUACUGGGCGUAAAGCGUGCGUAGACGGUAUCGUAAGUCAGAUGUGAAAGCCCCGGGCUCAACCUGGGAAUUGCAUUUGAGACUGCUCUGCUCGGGUGCGGAAGAGGGAAGCGGAAUUUCCGGUGUAGCGGUGAAAUGCGUAGAUAUCGGGAGGAACACCGGUGGCGAAGGCGGUUCUCUGGGCCGGUACUGACGCUGAGGAGCGAAAGCGUGGGGAGCGAACAGG
rnacentral:rRNA from 1 species